GAGGGAGGAGGAGGAAGCGCGCCUCGGCCGGCCGCCGCAGUUGGAGUCGGAGCAGGGGGGAGCAGUUUCAAAAAAUUAUUAAAAAUCGAGGGAAAAUCCUAGAAACGCUCUGUGGGCCUGAAAACCCCAGAGAGGUCCCAGGCUCCCUGGAAAAGAGGUUUCGGGUGUCCGUAAGGCCUCUCCGGGGUCAGAUGUGGCAGGUGAAUCUUGGCUGAAGGAGAGAGGAAGCAUGAAGGUCCACAUCCAUGGAGUUGAUGACAGGAAGACCCCUGAGGCACACACAAUUAUAUCAAGCAGUGACACUGGAGUCAGCUGUGGGAAUACACUGAAUGGUCUUCACACCCCUGUGGAUGGCGAGGGAGCCAAUGGAGAUUGUAGAAGUGAGAACUGUGCUGUUGCAUCCUCAGGCAAAUGAUUUCUUCUGUAAAUGUCUUCUUGACAUGUUUAUGAAGAGACAUCCUCAGAGCCAAACUGCCUUCAUUUUCAUCAGAUCUGUUUGCAAGAGAUAGUCAUAGCUGACCAUGUUAACUGUGACCUACUUUUAUAUAAGGGGCACAGUGCAUCAUGGGACCUUCACAUGAGUAUCCAGGCAGCCCUCCAAGCCAUCUGUAUGAAAAUCUAAUUGUACAAAGCCUCAAGGAGUCUGUGAUGGCUAAUCUUGGUUGUCAACUUGAAGACAUCUAGAAUCAACUGAAUCCCAAGCAGCUAGGUGUUGAGAAAUUUUCAUGAUCGAAUCAUCUGAGGUCAGAAGACUCACUCUAAAGCUGGGCUACACCUUUUGAUGGCAUCCCGCAUAAAAGCACAUGGAAUAAGGAAAGCUUUGAUUUUUGCCUGCUUGUCCUCACUCUUACUGGCAAGUUCAUCUAGUCUGCUGCUGUGGCAUUCUUUCACUGGUGUUAGAACCUACUUCUUCAUGACUGAAGACUAGCUAAGGUAUCCAGCCAUGUGGACUGAAUAACUACUAAAUUUAUGGCCUUUUUUUUUUUUUGGAGCAAGAGAUAUUCAUUGUUGGACUAGACAGACAACAGCCUGUUAGCCACUCUAAUAAAUUACCUUUAGUAUAAUAUUCUUUCUAUCAGUUCUGUUUCUUUAGAGAUCCCUGAUUAAUACAGAGAGGCUGGAGUAUAUAGAUGAGAAAAGGACUAGGGCAGGAAGCUCCAUCUAUGUAGCCUCAGGGAAGUUAUCAGCCAUACUGGGUACAGAUCAUUCAGUGUGGCUUAAGGCUACCCAUAUGACUACCUGUAACACCUCACCCAUUGCUAUGUAAUAAGCCUAAUAAAGUCGUUGGUUUCCAGGAUGAA
rnacentral:lncRNA from 1 species